rnacentral:rRNA from 1 species
UACGAAGGGGGCUAGCGUUGUUCGGAAUCACUGGGCGUAAAGCGCACGUAGGCGGAUCUUUAAGUCAGGGGUGAAAUCCCGAGGCUCAACCUCGGAACUGCCUUUGAUACUGGGGAUCUCGAGUCCGGGAGAGGUGAGUGGAACUGCGAGUGUAGAGGUGAAAUUCGUAGAUAUUCGGAGGAACACCAGUGGCGAAGGCGGCUCACUGGUCCAUUACUGACGCUGAGGUGCGAAAGCGUGGGGAGCAAACAGG